ensembl:snRNA U6 U6 spliceosomal RNA
GUACUCAUUUCAGCAGCAUAUAUACUAAAAUUAGAAUGAUAUAGAAAAGUUAGCAUGCACAAGGUUGACAUGAAAAUUUGUGAAGCACUCCAUAGUUUU